UCGAUUUGGAGUUUGUUGCCUAGAGUGAUGGGCUCCGAAGCUAACGCGAUAAAUCGAUCGCCUGGGGAGUACGGCCGCAAGGUUAAAACUCAAAUGAAUUGACGGGGGCCCGCACAAGCGGUGGAGCAUGUGGUUUAAUUCGAUGCAACGCGAAGAACCUUACCUGGUCUUGACAUCCACAGAAUCUUGCAGAGAUGCGAGAGUGCCUUCGGGAACUGUGAGACAGGUGCUGCAUGGCUGUCGUCAGCUCGUGUUGUGAAAUGUUGGGUUAAGUCCCGCAACGAGCGCAACCCUUAUCCUUUGUUGCCAUCGGUUUGGCCGGGAACUCAAAGGAGACUGCCGUUGAUAAAGCGGAGGAAGGUGGGGACGACGUCAAGUCAUCAUGGCCCUUACGACCAGGGCUACACACGUGCUACAAUG
rnacentral:rRNA from 1 species